UACCCAAGGCAGAGGGGACAGAGCCCAUCAGAAUCUCUUCAUGCAUAUAGUGUCAAGGACUUUACCUAAGCAGAUGGUAAAAUGGACCUCUAACCUGAUUUCUGGUUGACAAGACUACCAAAACUGAUUGGUACAUACUCAUGAGCUAGUGAAACAGAGCUCCGAGAGACACAAAGAGGAUGCACCCUAUCUAGAACUUUCUUUGUGUGGUCCA
rnacentral:lncRNA from 1 species